rnacentral:rRNA from 1 species
UUAUUGGUAAACGAUGGGGAUGCGUUCCAUUAGGUAGUAGGCGGGGUAACGGCCCACCUAGCCUGCGAUGGAUAGGGGUUCUGAGAGGAAGGUCCCCCACAUUGGAACUGAGACACGGUCCAAACUCCUACGGGAGGCAGCAGUGAGGAAUAUUGGUCAAUGGGCGAGAGCCUGAACCAGCCAAGUAGCGUGAAGGAUGAAGGUCCUACGGAUUGUAAACUUCUUUUAUACGGGAAUAAAGUUUCCUACGUGUAGGAUUUUGUAUGUACCGUAUGAAUAAGCAUCGGCUAACUCCGUGCCAGCAGCCGCGGUAAUACGGAGGAUGCGAGCGUUAUCCGGAUUUAUUGGGUUUAAAGGGAGCGCAGACGGGAGAUUAAGUCAGUUGUGAAAGUUUGCGGCUCAACCGUAAAAUUGCAGUUGAUACUGGUUUCCUUGAGUGCAGUUGAGGCAGGCGGAAUUCGUGGUGUAGCGGUGAAAUGCUUA